CCCUCGCGGUGGCCGCUCGUGUUGGGCUGCGAUUACAGGGCGCGAACGGGGCUCCGGCGCCCGCUGUGGCAUUUUGGCUCAAGCGCCGUUUUUAUUCGUUUUGGCUGUUUUUUACGCGCUCGUUCUGCGGUACGUGGCAGCGGCGCAGUGCGGGACCUGCGGGUGUUGUGGAUGAAGCGCGUCGUUCUGAGGCAGGACGGGACGGCAGCGGCCGUGUGUGCCGUUUAUUUUACAGCCGUGGGACAGCUUGCUGGUACAAACCAGGCUUCCAGAAGGGUUGCCGUGGUCACACUGCUGUGUGCUGCGGUUCUUCCCGUCCCUCUCUCUGCACUCAGUGCUGAGGAGUGGCUCUGAGGGUCAGCAGAACCUCUCACAGAUGCUGUGACCCAGCCCCGAGAUGUGCACGCACUGCACCGCCUGCGGGGCCAGGCACAGAGCAAAGGGCUUGAAGCGCGUCCCCGGCUUUGGGCUUCCCUUAAGGCACUUCCUCUGCUUCCCUUCUCAGCAGACAAUGGAACUCUGAAUUGGAUCGCUGCUGCUACGUGAGAGGGAGAGGGGAACUGAUAAGCCGUGCUCUCUGUUUCUCCUCAGGACACCAUAGAUGAUGUCUCAUAGAGACCUUGGACUUGGAGUGCCAUAAAUCCUGUCGAUUGGCUCCUCCUGACAGCUUAGGGCAGUAAUUUACUGUUAAUACCAUCAUACUUGCCUACCAAUGUAGUCCUAUUAAAGAGGUGAAACAAUAUAGCUUGACUAAUUUGUACUGAGACAUAAGCAAAGCCGAAGAAAAAUAUGUUGGUCCUAACACUGCAAGGCAAAUAUUGGGCAGUUGCUCAGGGUUAUUUUAGAAGGAAUGUGUGAAGCAUCUGGAGACACUCGACCCACUUGCUUUCUUUCAUGAGCUGCUGUCUCCAGGUGCUAAGCAUUGACCUAAUGAAGAGGUGGUAGAAGAGACAGGAGUAGCGAGGACUAAGCUACCUUUUGUGUGCACAACCUCCGUUAUUGUGGCUGUAGCUCCUAAAGUACUUGUUCCUUCAGCACAUUUAAAGAAGGGCCGUACCUUUGUGUCUGCAGAAGAAUACACAGUCAUGUGCCACUCAUCCACGUAAAGGUGGUGGGAGGGCUGCUGUUCAAUAUGUUUGUCUUGGAUAAUGAACUUUACUCUGCUGAAAAUCAAACUCCACAUGCACAGAUUGUGAUUCACGGCAGCCGAGACAGCGCAGGUUCCUUUUCCAAAUGCUUUCACACACCUCACCUCAGCUAUAAAUUAAGAGAGGAGGAUUAACAAACCAAGGGAUUCUCGGUGCUUUCAGCGAUUGGCAGGAUGCUGAUGGCUAGGAGGUAAUAGCCAAGCUGUUGAAGCUCUUUUCAGAUGUGAAAGAAGCUCUCCGACCAUAAAAAAUGAAGAAUGCUCACCAGAGUGCCCAGGGAGGGUGUGCAGCAUCUCAAUAACUUCCAUGUUCCAGACUAGCAUUGAGCCAUGCUGGGAACCUGCCACCAGCAGCUGGUAAACAGAACUAAGUGCCAUCACUGUGAUGCCUGCUGCGAGACACAAAGAGGGAAAUCUGUUCCUGAUGCUGCAGACAAAAAAAGAAACAAUUUGAGAUUGUUAAUAUGCUGUGCUUCCCCAACUGGAAACGCCCAACACUGCCUGAACUCCUUAGUCUGUGCCAACAGCAAGAUUAGGUUCCCUCAGACAUAUCUAGGUCAGUGUGUGCUUUUGUUGUCCUGGCGACAAAAUGACCCACUUUCUCUAUUCUCAUUUGUUGAAGCAAUUGCAAGUGGGACUGGUGCAUGACCGAGCACAAAGGCAAAUAGGCCUUUAUUCUGCCUGUGUAAACUCAUGGGCAAAAUGGUAUUUCUAGAGAAAUACAUUCUGUCUCCCUGCUCUAUUUAUUUGUACUACUAUUAUUUGGAUCUUGUUCAUAACGGAUGAUUAUAUGUUUUCUUGGGCUGUAGCCAUCAUCAGGGCUAAUCCUACCUUUGAGGAAUUCAGUGAGCCUUGUGUGGAGGGGCUGCCCAGGAAGGUGGAGAAAUCCACACAACUGAAUGAGAAGGGGUAGGGACAGAUGCUGACCCAGCUGAGGUACUGCUGGCACAGCUUCCCAAUCGCUUCCAAGUAAGAAGGCACAAAGAAAAGCAGCCUGGCCAGCACUUCUGUGUCUAUUAGACUUGUCCAAAGAGGGCAGAGAUGAAAAUCAUUUUAGAACAUGAGUGUGGUGGUCCUGAGAGCUCCCGUCGUUGUGUUUUAUGUGAUGUACAGUUCAUAAUGAUCUGAACUGGCCCUGCCCAGCCAGGUCCUUCAAUAAGAUAGAGAGGGCUACAGUGUAGAAUGUGCAUGAAAAUAAUGGAGUGACAGGACUGAGGAAGGAGUGUGAAUUCUGAGAAGACAGAAGAGCAGUGCUGCAAAACCUGCUUUUCUAAUUAGUGUUCAAGCUGCUCUCUCUGUGACAGAAUAAAGCUGUAUGUGAAGUACAGCUCACAAAUGAAGCUACAGGCUUUGCUCCUGAGCACAGCAGUGUCACCACAGUGUAACAGCUUGCAAAUUCACGGAGAGAGCACCUGGUGCAUUUAGCAACUUCAGGACAUUUCAGCUUAUUUACCUGAAAAAUCUGAGCUCACAAAGACUCGGGUCAGGCUGGAGGGCUGGUGAGGAAAAGGAACCAUCUUUUCAUGGAGCAGAUCUUCAUGUGUGUCUGAGCCGAAGCUCAUGCUGCCCUCUGGACCUGCUGAGUUCCCAGUUGAGGCUGCUCUUUAGUCGGGAGGUGAUUGAUAGCAAUGCAUACAGUAGCAGUGCCUGUCUCCAGACAGCUGUCUUGUCCCUUUUUUUUUUUUUUUUUUUUCUCACUGGAAAUCUUGGGGAAAUUUCAGCUAUUUUGACAGGAGCAGUAGGAAGUGGUUGACUGCACUGAGAUGCAUUCUGGAGCAUCUCUCUGUAUUUGGAGAGGACUGCUAUCUCUAUAGCAACUGGUGCUUGUCACCUGGUAGAAUCCCCAGGGUCUUUCCUGAGGGCAGAUGUGCUCCAUACCAGGUGCUGUACACAGCUGAGGUGCCUUUGUUGGCUGCCUUUCUCUGUUCUAGGAAUUCUCUCUGUAUUUUAGAUUUUUUUAGAGAUUUUAUUUAGUGGUGAGAAUGUACCACUACUUGUUUCAUAGAGAGUUUAGGCACUCAGGUAUUUAAAGGAAGUUUCUUAACACCCAGGAUCAUGGCUAUUCCCUUUCACAGUUUCCCUUUGUCAAAUGGUGCAGGCAGAGAUAAGAAAAUAGACCUCCCAAGGAGCUGAGUUCAUCGGUUUCUCUUGAAGUCAGACUGAAGAGGCUGCUGUCUAUCCCUGUCUGUAUCCCCUCUGUAUCCCUCUGGCAUACAGAGUAAUAAUUAAAGAAAAAUUGGUAAUGUGUGUUUAUGUAACAGGCUCCUUUUGGACACAGUACUUGGCUGGAUGUCUGUGAAGAUUAAUCAAGUAAGAAGAGAUUAACCAACAUCUUAAUCUGUCAUAAAUCAAACAGGGAGAUGAAGCCUCUUAUUGCAAGAAACUAACAUUACAGAAAGCCUUCAUCUGGGUUUAGCCAUCAUCAGUCUCAAUCUAAACUGUCAACUUCAGGAGUCUGAAGUGCAUUUUUAGACUAUUCUUCAAGCUUCUGUGAUCAAAACCAGCGAUGUAAUGGAGGAAAAUGUCAGCUCCAUUAAGGUUGCUUAAAAUAUACCAUGCUGGAGAGGUGACAGCAGACACAGUCUGGAGGAUGAGGGUGAUCAGUGCCAUCCAGGCAAACCAAGACUGGAAGAUAGCGACAGAGAAAUAUGUAAUAAUGCUUUUGUUCUAUCAACAUCAAAACAACACUGGAGCCUUGGGAUGAGCCUUGGCAGCACUCUGCAAUGUGCAGUUUGUACGUCGUGCUGCACGUACCUGUCGUAGUAUUGAUGACAGCAGUCCUCGCCACCAACAAAUCCACUGAUUCAAGCAGUUGGUUACAGUUGGAGCAGAAGUCCCCGGUUAGCAGACAUUUUUGGGAAGUCGAGAUUGCCAGCAUCACUGAGAAGAAUCGAGGACUGGGCUAAUUGGAGGAGAAACAGCUUGCUUGCUGUAGGAAUGCAGCGUUACUUUCUGGUGAGCAGGGAGUUUCUGCAAUUUGCAAAUCAAAACCAAACGAAAUCAACCAACCAAAUCUUUUCCAGGGCCAUUGUGAAUUUCCUUAGGCUAUAAAAACAUUUAAGCCUCUAAACAUAUCAGACCUGUUUUCCUGCAUUCCACGUCUGCAGCUUACCUGUAUCCUAAAGAACAUAAAGGAAAAGAUAAGUGUCAAGAAACCCUUAGUGGUACUUCUUCCUUGGAGAAUGUGUGAAAAAUGCAAAUGCUGGGCACGUGUGAACGAGAGGCCAGACUCAAAGCUGUUCUUCAAUGUUGAUCUUAACACUAUCAGAGUGAUAAACUUCUCUUCUUUGUCAGAAAUGUCGCCUCAGAGGUGAGCAGCUAUGAUUUUACUUGACCAGAAGUAUUUUGAAGAGCAAAGGCUUUGGCGCUCAGCAGCAGCUGAUAGCAGCACUGUGCUUGAGCACGGAAUGCUUGGACUGGAAAGGAUCUCAAAGCCCACCUGGCCCCACGCCCUGCUGUGCAUUGGUUGCCACUCACCAGGAGGAGGUGGCUGAUAGGAAGCCUCGUGGGAGUGCCCAUGCUGAUUAUGAUGGCCGGUGUGUCCGCCAGAAACAGAGCCAAAGAAAACUGGGCAGAUGAAGCUUUCCACUGGAGCAAAAGGUGAGGCGUGAGAAUGAGUUGCCGUCAUGAAAACCUGCCAUGCAACAGUGGACAGAGUUAAAGACCACAUACACCAGCUAUGAAGAACUAACUAGUAAAGGACAUCCUACUUAGCACAGCAAAUCCAAACAAGACAGUACACGUGUCCCACAGAUGGAAUACCUCCCUUCAUGCAGGGAGGUCCUGCACACAGCCAGCAGUAUUGAGUGCUCGGCAGCUGAGGAGAACUCACCACACUGCUGUGGCCAGGAUGACACUGGAGUUGUUACUGAAGUAAUGAAUAGGUGACUCUCCAAGCAGCAGAUCAGCGAGGAUGUAACUUCCAAAGCAGUGGAGCAUGGCACAAAGCCAGGAGGCAAAAGGACUCUUGCGAGACAUCUCCACAGCUCCUGUGAGUAAAUUUUAAGUGAGAAGGUGCAUUCACCAAAGAGCUAAGAAAGACUCUUGCUUUCAACGUGCUCCAACAGGAAUUGAGUCAAAGAAAAGGGCUUGUAAAAUAAAAUGGCCAAACACACACUCUGCAAAGCCUAAGCAAGCAUCAGAUAGUUGAGACACGGUCUGUGCUCACAGCCUGCAGACCCCUACAAGGUUUCAUAUGAAUGGAGCCAUUAGAAGUUUAGCUCCUGCGUUUGCUGCUCCUACUGCAAUCAGAAAGAACAAUUCUGCCCUCAAAAUAAAUGCUAUUUUUUUCAGUCUUAAAACAAAAUGCAUACUAGUACCAUUUUCUCCAUUGCUUCAACCUAGGUGCCCUCUAGAAUUCAUGAGCAAUCUGUUCAGCUCUUGCAUUCAUAAGAUAACCUGUAAAAUAGAACAGUAAUUCUUAAUCUUUAUAUAAAUGAAGGGGAUUGGAGGAUUCCUCACUGGUACUGUGGUGGUUUGCAAAUACCCUUCAAGUUCAGAAAAUACAACUAGGUAUUUAAACUGUGUUACUGUUGGGGAAUACAGUGUGGUUUCUUCCACAGCCUCCCACUGCCUAGGGGCUUUGCUUGCUGUUUGAUUCCUCUCCCAUUUUCACCCCCUGCUGUGCUUCUUGGAGGAAGUUUCAUAAGAACAUCAGUUCUGUAAGAUUGUUUCAUCUCCUUAAACUGAUAGCAGGGUCCUUUAUGCAGCAUAUCAGAUACCAAACUCUGCUACACCAGUAACGGGCAGAUAAAUAAUGCUGAAAUGUUACAUCCACAUUACGGACAGUCAUCCACCUUGAGCAGCAGUAAGUGAGCUAAAUAGGACUGCUGAUACCAUUCCAUCCCCACCGACGUCUGAACCAGCUGAAGGGACAGUGGAAGUGAGACAGCUGCAACAGCCAUGAUGUGAAGCUCAUCUAUAGGAACCCAACAGUUAUCUGAAGGAGGAAAGUUAUGGACAUUUUUCUUCAGCUCCAUUAAGCCUCGCUGUCUUCUAAGAAGGAAAGGGGACGUUACCACCCUGACCCUCAUCUGCCAUGUGGGAGCCAGGCGAGAAGCUCACUGCAGCCUUAGGCAGUCUGAGGGGAUUAUGGGGUGACAUGUUUGGAAGAGAAAAUAUCUUCACUGGGGUUGGCUGUUACUGCACGGCUCAGAACUUAAUGCUGGAAGACAGCUGUAAGGGAUCAGGCCUCGAAAACCCGGCACUCCUGUUUACAGGGAGCUGAAAUAGAACAGUAUGCUGCUGCUUGUACAGCGCAGCAAUCUGACAACGGGGGGACUCCAAAACGUGGCACAGCGGGUGGCUUUGCCUCAUCCGGCGGGCAGCAACACCGAAACCGAUCGACAGAGCACAGAGAGCGCACACCGUGUAAAAACAGCGGGGAAGGCGGCGUUCGGCGGGGACCGAGGCACAGACAGGCGGCAGAGCCGGCGGCAGCCACCCGGGCACGGAGAGCUGCGAGCAGCGAGAGCGGGACCAAGGGGGGACGAACGAGGAACACAAGACGAGCGUUCAGCUGCGGCUUCUCCGAAUAUAAAUAGGGUAGCGCGGCCACAGAAAUAGAACAGGCGACAAUGGAGAGAAACGGAACACCGAGCGCGGGCAGAGCAGCGGCGACGGGAGCUCGGCACGGGGCGGUCAGA